CUACGGAGGGUGCAAGCGUUAUUCGGAAUCACUGGGCGUAAAGGACGCGUAGGCGGGUUGGCAAGUCAGAUGUGAAAUCCUACAGCUUAACUGUAGAACUGCAUUUGAAGCUGCUAACCGAGAGUAUGGGAGGGGGAGAUGGAAUUAGUGGUGUAGGGGUAAAAUCCGUAGAUAUCACUAGGAAUACCGAAAGCGAAGGCGAUCUCCUGGAACAUAACUGACGCUAAGGCGUGAAAGCGUGGGGAGCAAACAGGAUUAGAAACCCUAGUAGUCC
rnacentral:rRNA from 1 species